AACAUGGAUCGACUCGGUUGAUUUUAAACCUUUUUUCUCAGAGCAGAGCAAGGACCAAGAGGGGUACACUAUUGCUAAGUAUUUCUCAUAAAAGAAUAUAAAAAAUAAAAAAUAAAAAAUAAAUUAGAGUUUGUUUGUAAGAGGUGGUGUGACGUGGAACUGCAGUUAUAUUGAUACAAUAUCAGACAAUCAACCAAUCAAAUUUCAAGAUGAUAUGUAAAACAUAGUAUGUAUUUGUAAUUAAAUUGCUUCGUGUAAACUUUCCAAAAAAAAAAAAUUGCUUCGUGUGUAUAUAUAUAUCCCCCAGCACAUCCCUUCCCCACUAUUACCCCCUUCUCUCUCUCUCUCUCUCUCUCUCUCUUUCUCUCUCUCGUUGUCACAAAUCUGCAUCCAGUUCUGGCCUGGAAGUUAGAUCUCUACCUUAUUUUCCUCCCAGUUUAAGUGUAUUUUAUUACUUUUUUACUUCUAUUUGUUGGUAGUUUAUAUUUAUUUGUUCUUACCCUUGUCUUCGUGUGUUAGGUUUUUCUGCCAAUAUAUAUAUAUAUAUAUAUAUAUAUAUAUAUAUUAAUCUUACCUAUAGAAGGUAUGGCUAAUCGCCGGAAUCUGACAUGGGUAGAUAAUACACCAACUGGGUUUUAUUGGUUUGGCCGGAAUCUGACAUGGGUACUCUCUUUCUCCUUCAGAAUCUGACCGGAGAAUCUAACCCCACAUAUCCAAAAAAACAAAAACAAACUACCAGCUGUUGUUGUUGCUUUCGAUUCCAUUUGUUAAUUAGUUUUUCUCGUGGCCUGUUUUUGAUUUGCAACACUAUUGGUUUCUAAUAGAAAAUAGAGUUUUGUUUUGUUUCUUUUCUGUUGUUUAAAAUAUAUUUACAGAUUCUUCUUCUGUACCCUCUUCACACCAUCCUUUUUUUCUUCAACCACUGGUAAUAGGCCACAUAUCACAUAUGCGUAUAUAUAUUGAUAUGUAUAGGUGUAUACACAGUGGUGUAUUUUCUCUAUUUCAGCUGACCGAUCUCCUUAAAUGAAAUCACUUCAAUGGUCCUUUUGAAGCCCUUUCUCUCUCUAAAUCAUCGUUAUUGUUGGUGAUGGUGAUGGUGAUGGUGGUGGUGGUGGUUGUGGGUGGUGGUGGUGCAUGGAUUGAUUGAUUGACAGUCGUUGUUUGCAGGUGUAGCAUCAUCAAGAUUCACAUGCAAAGGCAAAGGCACCGUCUAGACGAAGCAAAUCUAGCUUGACUGUGCCAAAGCUUUUGAAGAUGGGAAUCUUGAUGAUGCUGCAUCAGCAAUAAAUGACUACCUAUAUAUGGUAUAUAAACCCUAUUCGAUCAAUUGCAGACAGAAAAUGAAUCAAUCCACAAGUCAAAAUUGUCCCAACCUUUGCAAUUCAACAAGGACAUAAGGUGAUAUUUUCUAUUUGUGUCACGAUUCUGCCAGGUGGGGUUUAGCUAUUUUGAGGCAACAUCUUUAUACUGAUAGCAAUCUGUCAAUAGAUUCUAUUAUUUAUAUACGUUUUUAUGUGUGUGUGUAUGUGCAUGUUCUCCCUCUGUGUGUAUGUGUUUUUCCUUUCUAAUAUGCAUUCUGCGGCAUAAAUGAACAAAGUCCUAUAUCAGAUUAGUUCUUGGAUAAUGAGUAUUUUCUUUCUAAUAUCAAUCUUGUGGCAUAAAUGAGCAAAGACCUAUAUAGUUCUUGGAUAAUGAUUAUUAGACCUGAUAGUCUAACCGAGGAGUUAUAUAGCCCAGAGUUCCUUAUCUAUGUGAUGCAUUAGAUUUGGCGAAAACUUGAUUUUGUUCAAUGUAUUCAAUGGAUGUAUAAGAAACUAUGUGCUAGACUAAUCGGUUAGACUAUUAGGUAUGAAUAGUAUUGAUGUUAGUUCAUUGCAUUCUAACUGUGAAUGGCAUUGAAGGAAAGCUGUGCUCUAGCUGACUCCGCAGAUCUGUGAUUAUUCUCUUCAAGAAGGAAGCUUUGAUUGAUAUGGUAUUUCUCUAUUUCCUGAUGGAAAUGGCCAGAGUUCAGAUGUUGUCUAUAGGAUAAUGUAUAUGUGUGUGUGUGUAUAUAUAUGUAUAUAUUUGAAAGGUUUAUAUAUACAUAUAUAUGUAUGUAUGGAGAGAGUGAGUCUUGAUGAUACUGCAUGAGCAAUGAUUCCUAUAGAAGGCAAAUCUUCAUAUAUCAUUAUUAUCUAGCUGUGUUGAGUGAUUGGUAUAAAGAUCUAUCAAUGAACUCUCACAGAUUAUUUUUUCUGACUCUUUUUUUUUUGCAGAUAAAUGGUUUUGGAUAUCAAACUCAUUAACAGACUUAGACCGUGAAUGUAGAAAUUGCUAAUAUUGGGAAAGAAAACAUCUGGGCAAAAGGGUGCAAAACAAGCAGGAUGUACUUCCCAACAUUUAACUCCAGUUGCUGAUUCUAUGGCUGCUGUUUAAUUAUUUGUCCUCCGCCUUUCUUUGGUUCUUCGUGUUCAUGAGGUGCAAGCGUCGUUAAGAAAUUACCUUCUCUAUUUUCGAAGGACCGAUCAAGGCUACAUGCAUUUGAAGAACAUAUAUAGAAUAAUACCGAUAUUUAAUUUGAUUGUUAGCGGUAAUCUUUUGUAAUUCUAAGCCACCCGAAGAAUGUUUGCUUUAAGGAAAUACAUGAUUGAAUGCGAUUUUAAUA